AAAUGUCUUCGCUGGGAGUGCAACGUCCUCGAUUUUAAGACAGUCUGUAAGAAAUUUAACACACAUUAUUAGCCCUUAACGGGAUCCAAAUAACGGGAAAAACAAAAGUUUUCGACGAAAAAACUCAAAGAUCGCCAGAGUUGCAUGUGUAAGGGACUUUAACUAUAGUUCAUAAAAUAUACAAAAUUAAAUAAUGAUCUCCGAAUGGAUUAAUAAACAUAUAUACUUACAAAGGCAAAAACCACAUAGUACACAAGGGUAGUGGGAAAAAGAAACAAAAUUGCUGAGAAAAAUAUUGUGGCAAGGUAUAGCUGUCGAUCCAUAUAAUUAUGAGCUUCAAUACGGCCUGUAAUGAAACAUAUUUAAAUAAAUUGAGAUCUGCACAUCUUUUAACUAAUCUUUGUAUAUUUUUAGUAGACCUACCUUUUAAUAUAUUAUAUCGGUUCCCACGAACCACUUGCCAAAGUACGGAUAAUCCUUUCUUUUCCACUUUAUAUAGACUUCAAAGAGAGAUCGAGAUCCAUUAUAUGUAAAUUAAGGCUUAAUUUAUUCAACCUGGACUUACACUUUGGUGUAAAUAUGGAAACAAUGCGAAUGCAAUGAAACAAUUGAUAUUAAAUCUGCGAGUAAAGCUAUCUGGAAUGUAAACCCCAGGCAUCCAAAUACUCCAAUGGCCAGGAAAACUUGCCGUACUAUUGGCUCAAUCAAAUC